AUAUAACACUAAGUUGUAAUCGUGAUAUCACCUAUGCUCUUUUUGAAGGCAAAUCCAAAAAUAAAAAUAACAAUGAUUUGCAUUCAAAAAAGGCAAAAGUGGUACUCUUGAGUCACCUGCAAUACACGUUGCUAAGACGUUACUUGAUAAAGGAGCAAAACUUAUUAUUGACCCAACACACCGUUGGAAGAACAAUAGUAGUAUAGUGGAAGAGGUAUAAAAUGUGAAACUAUAUAAAAGGAAAAAACAACAUUUCAACGAGAAUGCUGUUUUUUUCCUAAUGAUCAAUGUAAAAUACAGGUGGAACAGAGCAAAUAAAACAAGAUCUCACACAUCCUUACGUCACUGAUAAUCCAGAAAACGUAAUUUGCUGUAUUGAAAUUUACGAUAAUCUAUACACAGCUGCAGACUUGACACACGCUAUUUUAAUAUGUACCAAAUGGGAUUAAUUUGUGGCCAGGGGUCACCAAAUGGCGGCCCGCGGAUGAAUUUUGACAGGCCCGCAGAUAAGGAGAAAAGAAACAUUUUAAUACGUUGAAAACGAAGUCCGAUCCCGGCUCAUCAACGAACACCUUAAAAUGAUGAUGAAGAUAGCAACCACAAGCCAUAACCCCGACUUAAAGCAGCUAGUUGAGAUCAAGAUCUGCC